CUGGAGCCGCAGUUUACGGACAGGGCGCUACCGGAGGCGCACGAGCGCACCAUCGCCUUCGAGUUCGGCACGCGCACCAUCGCCGUCGACGACAGGCGCAUCAAGCUUUACAUCUGGGACACGGUGCGUGCGAAGUUAUAUAUUUUUCCUUCCUUCGUUGAAUUUCAUGGUGUUGUUAAAACACAAUGAAGUGAUCCUUUCGCAUGCCUUUUUCAUGGUGUUCUGUGCAUGCCAUGCUUGUUGAAUCUCAUGUUGUGAAGCAUAUUCAUCUCGUACUACGAUAUCUUGUCUUGCUUUCUUUGCAAGAGGGCCGGGAAACAUUCGUAUCUGCUACUAGUGAGCACUGCUACUACAGAGCUGCUUGUAUCAUUCUGGUUUAUGAUAUCACAAGGAGGGAGACUUUUGAUCAUAUUGUCAUAUGGCUAUCAAGAGCAAGAAAGCUGUCGAGAGCCGGCGUAACAUUUGGUGCUGAUCGGAAACAAAUGUGAUCUGUCUCAUAUACGCGCUGUCAGCUACGAGGAAGGGCGAAAGUUCGCCAAGAGGCACAAUCUGGUGUUUAUGGAGGCUUCGGCAAAAACCACAUAAGAUGUUGAGGAGGCAUUCAUCAUGACCGCUGAAACAAUAUACAAGCAAGUCGAAGAUGGUGUUAUUGAUGUAUCUGAAGAGUGUAUUGGAUUUACGCCGAGGGGAUCUGGCGGUGUGGCUGGAUCAUCCUGUAAAGGGAGAAAUUGCUGCUUGGUUUGGUACCAAAAAUUGGCCUGCCAAUAUGUAGGCAAGCCAAAAUAUUGGCUACCAUUUGGUUGGCAACCAGCUUCCUUUGCCAACCUCUCGAAACUUGGCAAUUUUUGGCAAGCUUUGGAGUUGCCAAUACGUUGGCUAGCCAAAUUUGGCUGUCAGUCAAGCAUGCUCUGAACUCAUGGCGCAAAGAUGGGGCGACGGUAGCUGAUGAAGCUGAGAAACCAAAUGAUCGGUUUAUACAGUAGGAUCCUUUUGGACUUGCAACUUAGUGUGUAUGUAUAUAUUAGGUGUUGCACUAUUCUUAUUUUAUAUAGUAGGAUCCUAACUCCGUUCUUCUUUUUGAGCAAUCCAGGUCCUCAGGGGAGUUUCGAAAAUAAAAUAAAAAUUAGGUGUUGCUCUAA